GAUGAAGAACGCAGCGAAAUGCGAUACUUGGUGUGAAUUGCAGAAUCCCGCGAAUCAUCGAGUUUUUGAACGCAAGUUGCGCCCAAAGCCAUUCGGCCGAGGGCACGUCUGCCUGGGUGUCACGCAUCGUUGCCCCCCCAAACUCCGGUUCGGGCGGGGCGGAAGUUGGCCUCCCGUGCGUGCCUGCGCGCGCGGUUAGCCCAAAAGCGAGUCCUCGGCGACGAGCGCCACGACAAUCGGUGGUUUUUUUACCCUCGUUCCUCGUCGUGCGUGUCCCGUCGCCCGAACGCGCUCUUGUGACCCUCACGCGUCGCCUCGGCGGCGCUCCCAACGCGACCCCAGGUCAGGCGGGACUACCCGCUGAGUUUAAGCAUAUCAAAUAAGCGGAGGA
rnacentral:misc_RNA from 1 species